UGGGGAAUAUUGGACAAUGGGCGGAAGCCUGAUCCAGCCAUGCCGCGUGUGUGAAGAAGGCCUUUUGGUUGUAAAGCACUUUAAGCGAGGAGGAGGCUACUUGGAUUAAUACUCUAGGAUAGUGGACGUUACUCGCAGAAUAAGCACCGGCUAACUCUGUGCCAGUAGCCGCGGUAAUACAGAGGGUGCGAGCGUUAAUCGGAUUUACUGGGCGUAAAGCGUGCGUAGGCGGCUUCUUAAGUCGGAUGUGAAAUCCCUGAGCUUAACUUAGCAAUUGCAUUCGAUACUGGGUAGCUAGAGUAUGGGAGAGGAUGGUAGAAUUCCAGGUGUAGCGGUGAAAUGCGUAGAGAUCUGGAGGAAUACCGAUGGCGAAGGCAGCCAUCUGGCCUAAUACUGACGCUGAGGUACGAAAGCAUGGGGAGCAAACAGG
rnacentral:rRNA from 1 species